GAGGGUGUAGCUCAGUGGUAGAGUGCAUGCUUAGCAUGCAAGAGGUCCUGGGUUCAAUCCCCAGUACCUCCA
rnacentral:tRNA from 1 species